rnacentral:rRNA from 1 species
AGCAGCCGCGGUAAUUCCAGCUCCAAUAGCGUAUAUUAAAGUUGCUGCAGUUAAAAAAGCUCGUAGUUGAAUUUCGGGACCAUCAUGUCGGUCGUGCCUCGGUACGUACUGGUAUUGUUGGUUUCUCCCUUCUGACGAACCAUGAUGUCAUUUAUUUGGUGUUGUGGGGAAUCAGGACUGUUACUUUGAAAAAAUUAGAGUGUUUAAAGCAGGCUCACGCUUGAAUACAUUAGCAUGGAAUAAUGAAAUAGGACGUUUGAUUCUAUUUUGUUGGUUUCUAGGAUCGACGUAAUGAUUAAUAGGGAUAGUUGGGGGCAUUAGUAUUCAAUUGUCAGAGGUGAAAUUCUUGGAUUUAUUGAAGACUAACUACUGCGAAAGCAUUUGCCAAGGAUGUUUUCAUUAAUCAAGAACGAAAGUUAGGGGAUCGAAGACGAUCAGAUACCGUCGUAG